rnacentral:rRNA from 1 species
GAUGAACGCUAGCGGCAGGCUUAACACAUGCAAGUCGAGGGGCGGCGCGGGAUAGCAAUAUCCUGGCGGCGACCGGCGGAAGGGUGCGUAACGCGUGAGCGACAUGCCCGUUGCCCGGGGACAACCGGUGGAAACGCCGACUAAUCCCCGAUGGGAUAUUCUGCCGCAUGGCACGAGAUUGAAAGUUACGGCGGCGACGGAUGGGCUCGCGUCCGAUUAGCUUGUUGGCGGGGUAACGGCCCACCAAGGCUGCGAUCGGUAGGGGUGCUGAGAGGAAGGCCCCCGGCAGUGGAACUGAGACACGGCCCAUACUCCUACGGGAGGCAGCAGUGAGGAAUAUUGGUCAAUGGGCGGAAGCCUGAACCAGCCAUGCCACGUGCGGGAAGGAGGCCCUAUGGGCUGUGAACCGCUUUUGCCUGGGGGCAAUAAGGGCGUCGCGCACGUCCGAUGAGGGUACCAGGCGAAUAAGCAUCGGCUAACUCCGAG